GUCAGGACAACCUGAAGCUGUGUCACAGGAACCCAGCCAGCAUGCUUGUGAGAAGCAUGCCUGAGUCCUAGAGAGUCAAUAGUCUCUGAUGAAUGCCACCCAACAGUCAAUAUCAACUGAAAGCCAUCUGCGUGAGCCAUCUCAGUCCAGUCAAGCUAUCAACAUGACUGCAGCAGCACUGGAGACUGCAAGAAAGAAUUGCCCAGCUUAGGCCAGUCAACACACAGGAUUACAAAAGAGUCUCGCUUUGAUGCCCAGGAUGGAAUGAAGUGGU
rnacentral:lncRNA from 1 species